rnacentral:rRNA from 1 species
CCCUUAGAUGUUCUGGGCCGCACGCGCGCUACACUGAUGCAUUCAACGAGUCUAAAACCUGCUCUGAUAGGGGUGGGUAAUCUUUUGAAUGUGCAUCGUGAUUGGGAUAGAUGAUUGCAAUUUUUCAUCUUCAACGAGGAAUGCCUAGUAAACGCAAGUCAUCAGCUUGCAUUGAUUACGUCCCUGCCCUCUGUACACACCGCCCGUCGCUCCUACCGAUUGAAUGAUCCGAUGAAUAUCAUGGAUUGAGGAUGCAAGUAGGUUCGCCUAUCUUCAUCUUCGAGAAGCGAAGUAAAUCUUAUCAUUUAGAGGAAGGAGAAGUCGUAACA